rnacentral:rRNA from 1 species
GACGAAGGUGGCUAGCGUUGUUCGGUGUCACUGGGCUUAAAGCGUGUGUAGGCGGAAGCGUAAGCGCUUUGUGAAAUCCCUCAGCUUAACUGAGGAAUUGCUUGGCGAACUGCGUUUCUUGAGGCAAGCAGGGGUGCAUAGAACUCUUGGUGGAGCGGUGGAAUGCGUAGAUAUCAAGAGGAAUGCCGAUGGUGAAAACAGUGCACUGGGCUUGUCCUGACGCUGAGACACGAAAGCGUGGGGAGCGAACGGGAUUAGAUACCCCGGUAGUCCACGCCGUAAACGAUGUCUACUAGGCUGUGGUAGUUCUGACACUGUCACGGCCGAAGCUAAAGUGUUAAGUAGACCGCCUGGGGAGUACGGUCGCAAGGCUAAA